AGUGAACGCUGGCGGUAGGCCUAACACAUGCAAGUCGAACGGCAGCACAGGAGAGCUUGCUCUCUGGGUGGCGAGUGGCGGACGGGUGAGGAAUACAUCGGAAUCUACUCUGUCGUGGGGGAUAACGUAGGGAGACUUACGCUAAUACCGCAUACGACCUACGGGUGAAAGCAGGGGACCUUCGGGCCUUGCGCGAUUGAAUGAGCCGAUGUCGGAUUAGCUAGUUGGCUGGGUAAAGGCCCACCAAGGCGACGAUCCGUAGCUGGUCUGAGAGGAACAGCAGCAAAACUGGAACGGAGACACGGUCCAGACUCCUACGGGAGGCAGCAGUGGGGAAUAUUGGACAAUGGGCGCAAGCCUGAUCCAGCCAUACCGCGUGGGUGAAGAAGGCCUUCGGGUUGUAAAGCCCUUUUGUUGGGAAAGAAAUCCAGCUGGCUAAUACCCGGUUGGGAUGACGGUACCCAAAGAAUAAGCACCGGCUAACUUCGUGCCAGCCGCCGCAGUAA
rnacentral:rRNA from 1 species